ACACAGAAACACACAUGCAAACGCACACACACACACACAUACAAAACCCCAUGGUCCUUCUCUAGUUACUGGUUAAUACCACUGAUGUUGUUCAACUGGGCCUCCAGUCCAAUGGUCACAUUAGUAGCAGUGAAGUGACUAAGUUACUGAGGACGAUUGAAAUCUCUAUCAGACUGAUCUCCACUGCUGACAGAGAACGUGACCAGGAUAGAGACCAACCACACAGAGGUUGAUAUUAUGGUGAGGAGAAGCAACUACCACCUGAAGGACCAGUCAGCCUGACCAAUGAGAACACACAACUUGACACCACCUGGGAGACGGUGGUUGGAGAUGACCAGAAUUACCCAGGGUUUGCGUAUGUCAUUCUGCUCAACUAUAGGAUCUGGAUAGUCUGAAGGACAACACUUCUCAUCAGAGCCAGCAGCUCAUGUCCAGUGCUGCGACAGUUUCCGUUAGCAACUCCAACACACAUACCUGCCCCAACAGGUUAAUCUCACCUUCCAUCACCUGCAGGUAACACUGUCUCUAUUUAAUAGUUUCUGACUGUCAGUAACAUUAUUUUGUAUAUGUGGUGUCAUUUAGAUAU
rnacentral:lncRNA from 1 species